rnacentral:rRNA from 1 species
UACGAAGGGGGCUAGCGUUGUUCGGAAUCACUGGGCGUAAAGGGCGCGUAGGCGGCCAUAUAAGUCGGGGGUGAAAGCCUGUGGCUCAACCACAGAAUUGCCUUCGAUACUGUAUGGCUCGAGACCAGAAAAGGUAAGUGGAACUGCGAGUGUAGAGGAGAAAUUCGUAGAUAUUCGCAAGAACACCAGUGGCGAAGGCGGCUUACUGGUCCGGUUCUGACGCUGAGGCGCGAAAGCGUGGGGAGCAAACAGG